rnacentral:rRNA from 1 species
CCUACGGGGGGCAGCAGUGAGGAAUAUUGGUCAAUGGCCGGAAGGCUGAACCAGCCAUGCCGCGUGAAGGUCAGUGCCCUAUGGGCGUUAAACUUCUUUUGUGCGGGAGCAAUAAUGGUCACGUGUGGCCAGACGAGAGUACCGUACGAAUAAGCAUCGGCUAACUCCGUGCCAGCAGCCGCGGCAAUACGGGGGAUGCAAGAGUUAUCCGGGUUUAUUGGGUUUAAAGGGUGCGUAGGCUGUGAGGUAAGUCAGCGGUGAAAUGCCCCCGCUCAACGGGGUGAAGUGCCAUUGAUACUGGCAUGCUGGAAUGCGGAUGCCGUGGGAGGAAUGUGUGGUGUAGCGGUGAAAUGCAUAGAUAUCACACAGAACACCGAUUGCGAAGGCAUCUCACGAAUCCGCGAUUGACGCUGAUGCACGAAAGCGUGGGUAUCGAACAGGAUUAGAUACCCCUGUAGUC